AGCCCUAUGAUCCAGCGGUCAAAGAUACGACCCUCUGGAGGUCGAAACCCAGGUUCAAAUCCUGGUAGGGCUA
rnacentral:tRNA from 1 species